CAGCCUGGGACAGUGGAAGGUGUCCCUGCCCAUGGGGGGUGCAAUGAGAUGAGAGUUCAGGUCUCUUCCUCUUCCAGUGCAAAACUGGUGAAAGGCCCAUGAAGCUGUGGUCAGUUCUGUGGUCAGUGCUGGGGUCAGUGCUGGGGUCAGUGUUGUGGUUAUUGGUGUGGUCAGUGUCUUCGGGGUGUCCCUCCAUCCUCGGGGUGUCCCUCCAUCCUCGGGGUGUCCCUCCACAGCACCCACACAGCGUGCAAAGACUGGCCCUCAGGCACCAGUCAGCUCCUACAGCACACCCACACUGCUGCCAGCCUGCAGCAGCUC